rnacentral:rRNA from 1 species
AGUGAACGCUGGCGGCAGGCCUAACACAUGCAAGUCGAACGGCAGCACAGAGGAGCUUGCUCCUUGGGUGGCGAGUGGCGGACGGGUGAGGAAUGCAUCGGAAUCUGCCUAUUUGUGGGGGAUAACGUAGGGAAACUUACGCUAAUACCGCAUACGUCCUACGGGAGAAAGUGGGGGACCUUCGGGCCUCACGCAGAUAGAUGAGCCGAUGCCGGAUUAGCUAGUUGGCGGGGUAAAGGCCCACCAAGGCGACGAUCCGUAGCUGGUCUGAGAGGAUGAUCAGCCACACUGGAACUGAGACACGGUCCAGACUCCUACGGGAGGCAGCAGUGGGGAAUAUUGGACAAUGGGCGCAAGCCUGAUCCAGCCAUGCCGCGUGUGUGAAGAAGGCCUUCGGGUUGUAAAGCACUUUCGGCGGGGAAGAUAAUGACGGUACCCGCAGAAGAAGCCCCGGCUAACUUCGUGCCAGCCGCCGCAGUAACAC